rnacentral:rRNA from 1 species
UACGAAUGGAGCGAGCGUUGUUCGGAAUCACUGGGCGUAAAGGGUGCGCAGGCGGUCUUGAAAGUUAGAAGUGAAAUCCCUGGGCUUAACCCAGGAAUUGCUUUUAAAACUCCAAGACUAGAGUACUGGAGAGGUUAGCGGAAUUCCAAGUGUAGCAGUGAAAUGCGUAGAUAUUUGGAGGAACACCAAUGGCGUAGGCAGCUAACUGGACAGUAACUGACGCUCAUGCACGAAAGCGUGGGGAUCAAACAGG